rnacentral:rRNA from 1 species
GACGUAGGGGGCCAGCGUUGUUCGGAAUUACUGGGUGUAAAGGGUUCGUAGGCGGUGUGGCAAGUCGGGAGUGAAAUUUCUGGGCUCAACUCAGAGACUGCUUCCGAAACUGCUGUGCUGGAGUGUGGGAGAGGCGCGUGGAAUUGCAGGUGUAGCGGUGAAAUGCGUAGAUAUCUGCAGGAACACCCGUGGCGAAAGCGGCGCGCUGGACCACUACUGACGCUGAGGAACGAAAGCUAGGGGAGCAAACGGG